UACGUAGGCAGCGAGCGUUGUUCGGAAUUACUGGGCGUAAAGAGUGUGUAGGCGGUGCUCUAAGUUCGGUGUGAAAUCUCCUGGCUCAACUGGGAGGGUGCGCCGGAAACUGGAGUGCUUGAGCGUGGGAGAGGAAAGCGGAAUUCCUGGUGUAGCGGUGAAAUGCGUAGAUAUCAGGAGGAACACCGGUGGCGAAGGCGGGGAUCCUGGGCCAGUACUGACGCUGAGGAGCGAAAGCGUGGGGAGCAAACAGG
rnacentral:rRNA from 1 species